rnacentral:rRNA from 1 species
UACGAAGGGGGCUAGCGUUGUUCGGAAUUACUGGGCGUAAAGGGCGCGUAGGCGGUUGCUCAAGUCAGGCGUGAAAGCCCCCGGGCUCAACCUGGGAAUAGCGCUUGAGACUGGGCGGCUUGAGUUCGGGAGAGGUGAGUGGAAUUCCCAGUGUAGAGGUGAAAUUCGUAGAUAUUGGGAAGAACACCGGUGGCGAAGGCGGCUCACUGGACCGACACUGACGCUGAGGCGCGAAAGCGUGGGGGAGCAAACAGG